rnacentral:rRNA from 1 species
UACGAAGGUCCCAAGCGUUAAUCGGAAUUACUGGGCGUAAAGCGUGCGCAGACGGUUGCGUAAGUCAGAUGUGAAAGCCCCGGGCUCAACCUGGGAAUUGCAUUUGAGACUGCGUAGCUAGGGUGCGGAAGAGGGAAGCGGAAUUUCCGGUGUAGCGGUGAAAUGCGUAGAUAUUGGGAGGAACACCAGUGGCGAAGGCGGCUCACUGGACCGGUUCUGACGCUGAGGAGCGAAAGCUAGGGGAGCAAACGGG